AUUGAACGCUGGCGGCAGGCCUAACACAUGCAAGUCGAGCGAGAGGCGGACGGGUGAGUAAUGCCUGGGCAUUGUCCAGUAGAGGGCGAUAACAGUUGGAAACGGCUGCUAAUAGCGCAUAGCAAUGGAUUGCUCAUGUGGGAUUAGCUAGUUGGUGAGGUAAUGGCUCACCAAGGCGACGAUCCCUAGCUGGUAUGAGAGGAUGAUCGGCCACACUGGAACUGAGACACGGUCCAGACUCCGACGGGAGGCAGCAGUGGGGAAUAUUGCGCAAUGGGGGAAAGCCUGAUCCAGCCAUGCCGCGUGUGUGAAGAAGGCCUUCGGGUUGUAAAGCACUUUCAGCGAGGAAGCGUUACUCGCAGAAGAAGCACCGGCUAACUCCGUGCCAGCAGCCGCGGUAAUAC
rnacentral:rRNA from 1 species